AUGUCCAAAAAUUAUCAUGACAUUUUAACUUUGUUACUUAGAGUUACCCAUUUAAAAGCAGUAUAUAUGAAUUUUAAAGGUCCAGUGUUUUUAUUGUACUUAUUAGAGUGGGGGAGGGAGGAAAGACAGAAGGUAGAAAAAAAGGAGAGAAGAGGAGAGGAGAGGAGAGAAGUAGAGGAGAUUGAAAUUUUUUAAAUCUCAACAGAAUAACAAUAGUGAUUCCUCUGAUGGAUCUGAGCAAAAUCAAUGGAAAACCUUCUGGAAAAGAUCCACCAUUUGCAAUUCAUGGGAGGAUGUCAAUAUAACAACAUUAACAGGAGUUUGGAAGAAGUUAAUUCCAAUCCUCAUAAUUGACUUUGAGGAGUUCAAGAUUUUAGUGGAGGAAGUAACUGUAAAUGUGGUGGAAUCAGCAAGAGAACUAGAAUUAGAAGUGGAGCCUGAAGAUUUGACUGAAUUGCUGCAAUCUCAUGACUAAACUUGAGCAAUUGAGGAGUUACUUCUUAUGGGGGAGCAAAGAAAGUAGUUUCUUCAGUUGG
rnacentral:lncRNA from 1 species